GCCUGGCUGGCUCAGUGGGUAGAGCAUGUGAACUCUCAAUCUCAAGGUCAUGAGUUCAAGCCCCAUAAUGGGCA
rnacentral:tRNA from 1 species